CCCGCUUCUCGGCCUUUUGGCUAAGAUCAAAGUGUAGUAUCUGUUCUUAUCAGCUUAAUAUCUGAUACGUCUCCUACAGGUUAUUCUUAAGCUUUGUUUAUUUCGAAUAAUAGUAUUU
rnacentral:snRNA from 1 species